GCUGGGGAUAACAUUUGGAAACAGAUGCUAAUACCGAAUAAAACUUAGUGUCGCAUGACACAAAGUUAAAAGGCGCUUCGGCGUCACCUAGAGAUGGAUCCGCGGUGCAUUAUGUUAGUUGGUGGGGUUAAAGCGCCUACCAAGACAAUGAUGCAUAGCCGAGUUGAGAGACUGAUCGGCCACAUUGGGAACUGAGACACGGCCCAAACUCCUACGGGAAGGCUGCAGUAGGGAAAUCUUCCACUAAUGGGCGAAAGCCUGAUGGAGCAACGCCGCGUGUGUGAUGAAGGCUUUCGGGUCGUAAAGCACUGUUGUAUGGGAAGAACAGCUAGAAUAGGAAAUGAUUUUAGUUUGACGGUACCCAUACCAGAAAAGGGACGGCUAAAUACGUGCCAGCAGCCCGCGGUAAUACGUAUGUCCCGAGCGUUAUCCGGAUUUAUUGGGCGUAAAGCGAGCGCAGACGGUUUAUUAAGUCUGAUGUGAAAGCCCGGAGCUCAACUCCGGAAUGGCAUUGGAAACUGGUUAACUUGAGUGCAGUAGAGGUAAGUGGAACUCCAUGUGUAGCGGUGGAAUGCGUAGAUAUAUGGAAGAACACCAGUGGCGAAGGCGGCUUACUGGACUGCAACUGACGUUGAGGCUCGAAAGUGUGGGUAGCAAACAGGAUUAGAUACCCUGGUAGUCCACACCGUAAACGAUGAACACUAGGUGUUAGGAGGUUUCCGCCUCUUAGUGCCGAAGCUAACGCAUUAAGUGUUCCGCCUGGGGAGUACGACCGCAAGGUUGAAACUCAAAGGAAUUGACGGGGACCCGCACAAGCGGUGGAGCAUGUGGUUUAAUUCGAAGCAACGCGAAGAACCUUACCAGGUCUUGACAUCCUUUGAAGCUUUUAGAGAUAGAAGUGUUUUCUUCGGAGACAAAGUGACAGGUGGUGCAUGGUCGUCGUCAGCUCGUGUCGUGAAAUGUUGGGUUAAGUCCUCGCAACGAGCGCAACCCCUUAUUGUUAGUUGCCAGCAUUCAGAUGGGCACCUUCUAGCGAGACUGCCGGUGAACAAACCGGAGGAAGGCGGGGACGACGUCAGAAUCAUCAUGCCCCUUAUGACCUGGGCUUACACACCGUGCUUACAAUGGCGUAUACAAGCGAGUUGCACAACCCGUGCAAAGAGGGUGAGCUAAUCUCUUAAAGUACGUCUCAGUUCGGAUUGUAGUCUGCAACUCGACUACAUGAAGUCGGAAUCGCUAGUAAUCGCGGAUCAGCACGCCGCGGUGAAUACGUUCCCGGGUCUUG
rnacentral:rRNA from 1 species